GCACAAGCGGUGGAGCAUGUGGUUUAAUUUGAAGAUACGCGGAGAACCUUACCCACUCUUGACAUCCCCUGCAAAGAUAUAGAGAUAUAGUG
rnacentral:rRNA from 1 species